rnacentral:misc_RNA from 2 species
AAAGUCGUAACAAGGUCUCCGUUGGUGAACCAGCGGAGGGAUCAUUACCGAGUUUACAACUCCCAAACCCAUGUGAACAUACCUGUCUUGUUGCUUCGGCGGCGCCACGGCCCUCACAGGCUGGGGCCCGCCAGAGGACCCAAACAAAACUCUUUGCAUUUUGAAUACAGUAUUCUGAGUGAACAUGAUUAAAUAAAAUCAAAACUUUCAACAACGGAUCUCUUGGCUCUG